rnacentral:rRNA from 1 species
UGCUGGAGGUAUCAGAAGUGCGAAUGCUGACAUAAGUAACGAUAAAGCGGGUGAAAAGCCCGCUCGCCGGAAGACCAAGGGUUCCUGUCCAACGUUAAUCGGGGCAGGGUGAGUCGACCCCUAAGGCGAGGCCGAAAGGCGUAGUCGAUGGGAAACGGGUUAAUAUUCCCGUACUUGGUGUUACUGCGAAGGGGGGACGGAGAAGGCUAUGUUGGCCGGGCGACGGUUGUCCCGGUUUAAGCGUGUAGGUGUGUGUUCCAGGUAAAUCCGGUUCACUUUAACACUGAGGCGUGAUGACGAGGCACUACGGUGCUGAAGCAACAAAUGCCCUGCUUCCAGGAAAAGCCUCUAAGCAUCAGGUAACAUCAAAUCGUACCCCAAACCGACACAGGUGGUCAGGUAGAGAAUACCAAGGCGCUUGAGAGAACUCGGGUGAAGGAACUAGGCAAAAUGGUGCCGUAACUUCGGGAGAAGGCACGCUGACACGUAGGUGAAGUGAUUUACUCAUGGAGCUGAAGUCAGUCGAAGAUACCAGCUGGCUGCAACUGUUUAUUAAAAACACAGCACUGUGCAAACACGAAAGUGGACGUAUACGGUGUGACGCCUGCCCGGUGCCGGAAGGUUAAUUGAUGGGGUCAGCGCAAGCGAAGCUCCUGAUCGAAGCCCCGGUAAACGGCGGCCGUAACUAUAACGGUCCUAAGGUAGCGAAAUUCCUUGUCGGGUAAGUUCCGACCUGCACGAAUGGCGUAAUGAUGGCCAGGCUGUCUCCACCCGAGACUCAGUGAAAUUGAACUCGCUGUGAAGAUGCAGUGUACCCGCGGCAAGACGGAAAGACCCCGUGAACCUUUACUAUAGCUUGACACUGAACAUUGAGCCUUGAUGUGUAGGAUAGGUGGGAGGCUUUGAAGUGUGGACGCCAGUCUGCGUGGAGCCGACCUUGAAAUACCACCCUUUAAUGUUUGAUGUUCUAACGUGGACCCGUAAUCCGGGUUGCGGACAGUGUCUGGUGGGUAGUUUGACUGGGGCGGUCUCCUCCUAAAGAGUAACGGAGGAGCACGAAGGUUGGCUAAUCCUGGUCGGACAUCAGGAGGUUAGUGCAAUGGCAUAAGC